rnacentral:lncRNA from 1 species
CCGGCCGCCGUCGGUUCCGUCCGCACAUCUGGUUGAGGGGCGUCUCCUGUCGUCAUCUGUCAUUGUGAAUGGGGCCGUGCCGACGUGUCAGAGGGGACGAACGGGGGAAGUCGGUCCAGAGUCACUGCGCCGCGCGGUUGUGUGAGCAAGCCGUGGGCUAGGUACAUACCGCUCCAGGUCAGACCAUGGUUGGCACUGAAGAGUGCAGCGACACUGCAGAACUGUGAACGAAGACGGUGAACGGCGAGAUGUGGUGACCGCUUGACUGACCUGUGCCCAAAGUCGUGAUCUACCGCUGGGGUCAGUGCGUGAGAAGCUGGACUCGGCACCAACGGAGGACGCAGCUCGACGAGGAAGCUAUGCUGUGUUGAGGGACGUCUGCCGGUUACGACCGGAAGGUUUCCAACGGGACUUGGCAGAACCCAUAACAGCAGUAUGAACCCGGCAUGGAGUUAAUGCGUAAUUGCUCGCAUGAGCAACCGAAGAGCGACUUCCAGGCGAGGCUGCCUGGCAGAAUUCCUGGAGAUGCGCUGGGACAUGGAUCAUAGCAAGGUGGCUCUCAGCGGCAGCUGACCGCUGAGAUGUGUCUGAAACAGCCAGAAGGAAGACUCGAGUUGUGGAUCCAGGGCACUACUGAACGGAAGGCGGGACCAGCUGUAGGGAGACCACAGCAAAGCCGUCGUUCUCAAUCUGCUGAACAGACUCCUGCUGCAGAGGAAAAACUGGGGUUCGACGUGUUAGAACUGGGGUUAGACCAGUUUCCAGUGCUCGUGUUCGUCACCUGUUGUUCGUCACUGCUGUGCUGCUGCUGUAUGUCAUGUUUGCCACCUGCUAAGCGUUCACAAUGUAUUUUAAGUGAAUAAUAGCUUUUUUAGUGUUUGUCUUGAUUUGUAACGAUUAUAUCAAGUAUGUUAACCUUUCAUCAAAUGAAGGACUCCACAUAACAAUAGUAUAGGCUGUAAUGGUACAGACACAUACCAUGCUUGGCCGACUGUUGUGUAUUUAUCUAGUCGUUGAAGCGUCCUGAAAAUCUGGAAAUAAACAGGCAUGGCCAAAUGCAUUGGUUCUAAUUAUUUUCCUGUGCGGUUUUAUCGUUUCCCUAUUGCGGGGAAACAAGUGGACAAUUUUGUUUGUAUGUAAACAAGUAUGUGUAUACAAAUAUUUGUAUGUUUACAGACAAAAUAAAAAGUCAUUGUCAAUUUUAAUGGGACCCGAUCUGUUUCCCAGUGCGGUUUUUUACUGGCUUCUCCGUACGGGGAAAAAAGCGGACAAGGCAUUGGGGCCAUUGCCAAGUCGGGGAACGGCCGGGGUUCGCGCGGGGAAAAGGUCUGGGAACGUUAGGGGAAAAUCACGGUUUCCCCGAUCGGGGAAGGUCUCCAGUAAGCAUAAACCCGUACAGCCGGGUAGGGGAAUGUGCGGGGCUCGCACAGGAUCUUCUUGGGGAAAAUGUUCGAUAGCCCCGUACGGGGAACCGACUUAACAACGGAUUUUAACCAUAGUCGGCGCGGGGGUAGCUUGGGGGACGUUUGGGGAACGCUUGGGCAGUUAUACCGUUUCCCCGUACGAAUCCCGCACAAAGUUCCCCGUACAAAGUGUCUCAAAUCCCAAGCGAACGCUCCGUUUUCCCCAGGAGAACGGUUGGGGUUUCCCCGAGCCUGCCCCAAGCUCGCCAUAGGCCUUCCCCGUACGGGGAAAGCUCCGAAUUGCUGGCUGGGCCAAGCAUGCACGUACCCAGGAUUUCGCCCAAGAGGGGGCAACCUGCUCUCAAGGGGGCCCCGGGUUACCUGGGGACCACUGUAAACCCAGGCAGGGGCGUAUCCAGAACAUUUCGAUGGGGAGCGGGAUUGGGCACAAUGGGUCUGGUUCCCCCUUGCGGACGGGCUCCUCUGUCUGUCUGUCUCACCGUUUGCCUGUCUGUUUGUCUGUCUAAGCCCUGAGAAAAUGUGGAAAAUUGGCAGAUAAAACUAUCAUUUUGCCUGAGAAAUGUACAUAAAAUGCACGGUCUUUUAUAAAGAAACGAAGCGAGCGAGCCCCUCAGAGUCACCGGUGUUGGUCCCUCAGACGUGUCUGUGAAAGGCCGUCAGAUGCGCUGGUGUGGGGUCCACACAGGCGCCGUUGUGGGGGUCUUUGGGCUUAUUAGAGACGCUGGUAGGGGCCGUCAUAGGCAUGUAUGGGGCCCGGAAAGUUACUAGUGGCCCUUCAUAGGCCGGCAAGAGAACCUUAGAUGCCGGUAGGAGGCCCUCAGAGUCGCUGGUAAGUGGCCGUUAGAUGCGCUGGUAUAGGGCCCUCGAAGGCGCCAGUGAGCGGGCCUUCAGAGCUGCCGAUGUAGGCCGUUAAAGGUAGUGUGCCACCUUUGAAAGAUUUCCCAUUUUAUUUUUCCUAGGAUAAGAAGCUUCUGUUUUUACCUAAUAUCGCAAAAAAAAAA